rnacentral:rRNA from 1 species
UAUGGAAUACACUAUGCUGGAACUAGUAACAAGAAUUUACUAUUCUCCAAAAUGUAAGCAUAAGCCAGAAAGGAUAGACCACUGGCCAUUAACGAAAAUGAAAACACUACAGUAACAUUACAAGAAAACCCUGUACCCCCAAUCGUUAACCUAACACAAGGACAUUUCUGGAAGAUUAAAAGAGAAAGAAGGAACUCGGCAAAUUUCAGCUCCGCCUGUUUACCAAAAACAUCGCCUCUUGCUAAUAUAUAAGAGGUCCGGCCUGCCCAGUGACAUAUUCAACGGCCGCGGUAUUCUGACCGCGCGAAGGUAGCAUAAUCACUUGUUCUUUAAAUGAGGACUAGUAUCAACGGCACCACGAGAACUGCACUGUCUCCCCUCUCCAAUCAGUGAAACUGAUCUCCCCGUGAAGAAGCGGGGAUACAAUUAUAAGACGAGAAGACCCCAUGGAGCUUUAAACCUUACAGCAACUCUGCCGCACAGUCCUACAUAUCCACCAGAGUCGUGCAUGUUAGUUUUAGGUUGGGGUGACCGCGGAGUAAAAUCUAUCCUCCACAACAAAAAGAACUAAGCCUUUAUCCGAGAGAUACCUCUCUAAGAAUUAGCAUACUAAUGUACAAUGACCCGAUAAUCGAUCAACGGACCAAGUUACCCUGGGGAUAACAGCGCAAUCUACUUCAAGAGCCCAUAUCGACAAGUAGGCUUACGACCUCGAUGUUGGAUCAGGUCUCCCAGUGGCGCAGCGCUACUAAAGGUUCG